CCUGAGAAAAGCAGAGGAGGCAGCCCCGCUAACAGACUACUGCACGGCUUUACAGGGCAAGGAACUGGGUUAUGGUGGGAGAGCUAAGUUGGGUGUGCAAGAGGGCUGAGUCGGGGUUGGGGAGCUGAGUCGGGGGUGCAGGUGUCUUGACCGUAUCCUGGAGAUGUUUUUUGCCAACUUUGUUAUGCGAGGUGAACAGACAUGUUAACCGCAUCCUGUAACUGCCUGGAGAAACAGUUACUGGAGGAGCCAGUGAAGGGGGUUUUGUCUUUAGCCCUGGGGAUACUGUGCGGAGGUCACAAAGGACUGCAUUGAUUGUGUUAUCUAUUUGAGAUCCCCUGAGAUUCCAUAUGAAUGGCAGAAAAGAAUGUCAGAGAUACCUGAAGCAUGAGAAGAAUUGGAUGUGUCACUGCUGGUUUUGAAAAUAGAAUGGGUCAUGUACAAGUAAAAGACGCAGGAGCUGAGAAUGACCUUUGGUUGACAGCCAAUCAGAAAAUGAAGACUUCCCUCUACAACUGCAAAGAAAUGAAUUCUUACAGCUACUGGAGUGACCUUGGAAGCAGAUUUUUUUCUCCAGAGACUCCAGGUAAGAGCCUAGCCCUACUGGCAACUUGGUUUUAUUCUUGUGAGAAGUUAAGCAGAGACUCAGGCAAAACCAGUCUGGCUUCUGACCUAUGAAAUUGAGGUAAUAGGUUGGUGCUGUGUUAAGAUGUUAUGUGGGUAGAGAUUUUUUUCCAUUUGUUUACUGUUAAGCCCUUAGUUCCUAGAAUUGAACUUGAUAUUUAAGAAGCAUUUGAGAAAUAAUUCCAAUUAAUCUACUUGGCUAAACACCAUGAAGAGUGUCAUACUGUUUAAUCCCAUACACAAACCCUAGAUAUUUAACUGUAAAUUCAGUUAGUUAAAAGAUGAAAGGUUUGAACUUUGAAGAAUCAAGCUAAAAGUUUUCAAUAAUUUCUGAUAAAAUUUUAUUAAAAUUAUAAAAAGCAUCAAUGAUAUAUUUACAAGUGUUUACAUCAUUUUUUAAUGAACUGAUUACCAGACACUAAAUACCUAAUGUAAUGCAUGUUUUAUUGUACUUUAUGUGACACAAAUUAAUUUUCAGUAGAGGCAGGAAACCUAUCUCUAAGGUAAUUAGUCAUGGUCAAGUCUUAAUUAUCUUCUUAAAUAGGAAAACAACAGGCAUAUAAAGAUAUCUACUAUGAUAUUUUUGAGUGGUAAUUUAUUUUAUUUUGUAAUAUUAUUUCUACUAAAAUAGAAACAUUUGGUGAUAUAGAUUUCAACACAAGGUCUUUGAAAUAAUACUCAAUUCUGAACACCUUCAACCCUUCUUGUACUGUACAUUCUUUCCAAACCUUUCAAGGUGCUUUUAUCUCUAUUUUCUACAUGAGGAGAGUGAGACAGAGAGAUGUUCAGCAACUAGCUCAAGGUCAGAAAGCUUGAAUUGGUAAGUCUAAGGUUUCAGCACAGGUGGCUGCAUAUCUAAAAUUCCAUGCUUGUCUCAUUCCGUUACACUGUCAAUCUGAAUCUUUUGUUGAUUAAAUGCAUUUAUAAUUAUUAUUUAUAUAUAAAUAGAUAUCCAUAUUUAAAUAUCUGUACAGUGUUUGUAACAGAGCUUUAUUGAAUAUGAAUAAGAUAUGAUUAUUAUUUUCCCAGACAAAAAUUUUAUUUUGGCAUCUGUUAAGAAAAAUUGGCUUAUCUAAAUGAUGAGGGCAAGAAUCUUUUGCAAAACAUAUGCAGAAGCAACUUUGAUUUACAAAAUUAAUGAAUAACCUUCUUUUAACUAAUUAUCCAUUAACUGAAAUUUCUUUUCCUGCCUUCUUGCCAGCCUUCCUUCCCUUCUUCCUUUCUUUUUCUUGUUUCUUUCUACAUACAUUUAUUCAGAGUACACUGUAUGACCUGAAUUAGGCUCUAGGCUAAAUUAAACAUGAGAGAUUUGUCUUUCAUAUUUUGGAAGCUUUGAGAGAAGGAUUCAAGGUGAUAUAUUGAUGGGGAGCUGAGACUGUAAGAUGAGACAUGAGUAGGUGUUAGUCUUAAGAGGGACCAUUUUAAAAAAGAAAGACAGCAAAGAGAUAGGAAUAUUCCAGACUGAAAUAAAGCAACCAAAAUGGAGAACUUGUAUUUUUAUUUUGUUAUUGCUGUUUUGUCUUAUUUUGUUUUAUUGCAGGAACUGAAAGAGGUGUAGUGUUGUUGGAUAAUAGAGUACAUUUUGGGGGUAAGCGACGAUAUGGAGAGAGAGAUUUAAAAUGACGAGAUUUGUGUUUGCAAUGCCUUCUAGGUCACAUUAACAAAGUUGAAAUGUAUGUGGUUCCACUGAAGGGAAUGCAGUAAAUAGAUGUUUUAUUUGUUCAUUCACUCAUUCAACCAUAUGCAUUGAAGGCUUGUUUUGUGUACUAUGUGCCAGGUGUUGGUGCAUUGGUGAGAAGUUACAGACAGCAGUGAAUUUCUCAUUGUCAGGGGCCUUUCCCUCAUGGAGCUUAUUAUCUGGACUGAUGGUUUUGAAUGGUCAUUUUGGUGUAACAUAAAUAAUAAAUAGUAGCAAAGAAAGACCAGAUAGAAGGAGCUGGAAUAGGAAACAAAUAGCGAUGAUUGUCUGAGCUAGGGACUCAGGAUCUAGCAACAAGGAUGUCAGUGGUGACAGACAAGAGGAUAUAUUGGAUGGAGGAGGCAUUUAGAUCAAACUUCUUUUUGUAAAGGAAGGACAGGGUGAAUGGCAGUUACUGUCUAUGCUUGUAACUGUAUUUUCAGUCCUUGACUAGUAAUUCAACCUUGACUCUAAAAUAACUAUAUUUGAGAAGUCAUUGAUUCCAACCAUUCUUGAUUUUUAAGAAUGUUCUAUAUCUGUUUAACUCAGUAAUGGGUGUUGAACUGAUGAAUUCAAGCCCUUUUCCCCAAUAUUUUAAAUUCACAAAUAAAUAUUAUUAUUUGGGUAAUGAAUAUCUUGACAUUUUAAACAUUUUCUUUUAAUGUUUAUAGGAAUACAGUCAUGUUCAAUUAAGUAGUACAUGACGUGGUAAUGAGUUGUUAGUCACUCCUCCUUUACCACAAAUAUCUAGUAACCUACUCAAAAAUUUACAUGAUCUCUGCCCAAAUUGACUGUACUGCAACUGCAGUAGCUAUUUGUGCAUUUAUCUUUUGUACCGUGCAAUUAGUUCUUGUAUAGACAAAUUCUCUCUAUAUUUGAUAUGUAAGUAUUGGCUCCCCUCACCAUAUCUUAGACAGAAAUGUUCAAAUAUAUGUUGCUUGAAUUUUCUUCCCUACCCUUAUAAUAAAAAAGUAAAUAAAUUCACUCUCUUUUUUUC